CCUGUUUGUUUGUUGCACCAUUUGUGAAUGAAAUCAAAAGGAGAUUCAUUUCCAUAGUAUAUAUAUAUAUAUUCACGACAGCGGAGCUGUUUUUGAGUUUAAUGGGCUUUAGAGUUGGAAUAACAAAAAUGGCUGUGUCAAAAGUUAAAAUUCUUGAGAAAAAUACAGCCCCAAAUGGGACCGGGUGCUGGAGAAAAGUAUUCUGUUGACCACGCCACAUGUAUGCAGAAUUCAAAUAAUAUGUGGAAUGAUUUUGAAAUUCUUUUGCUAGUCACAGAAAAGAAAUUGGAGUUUGGUGAGGAUGAAAGUUACCUGGUAGUUGCAGAUUUGUUCUUGGGAUCCUGCAUGAACAGAUGAGCAAUGAUGUGCAUGAAGAUGGUGGUGGAGAGGAGUGGAGAGGAGAUAUGAAGGAAGGGAGUUCAUGUAGAUGACAAAUGAUGAAGCUUUUUGGUUUUCUGAUAUGAUGAUGGAGAUUGGUUGUCAAAUGGACCUCUUUUCUUUAUUGAUAUCUCAUACCCCAUAUCCCCACCCCUUUUGCUUUCCCAGUGGCAGGCAUGAUUCCGACUGUGAGAGAGAGUUCAAAAUUCAAAGGCAAAGUUGGAUUUCUUGCUUUUCAGUGAAAUUACAUAAAACCCCCAACUAGCUUCUACCUUUUCCAA